GGCAGUGGUGUCUCAGUGGUUAAAGCUCUGGAUUACUGAACAGAAGGCGGGUGGGUUCAAGCCCCAGCACUGCCA